rnacentral:lncRNA from 1 species
CCAGAAGCUGUGUGGGUUAAACUGCAAGUUUUGGAGAUGAGCUGUUGGGAGGCCCAUCCGGCACGUAUCACAUGGAUAUCUCUCUCUUUACAGGGCUGGGAAAGAAACCCAAAGUCGUGACUCCGGCGGAGCCCUGCGUGUCUCCAAAAGCCCUGCUCUGAGUUCGUCCCACCAGCAAGGUUGUGCAGCGUGAGAACCGAUUCAACCUCCUGGGGAGCCUUUCUAGCCAAGCCUGUUGUGGUCAGUUUUCAGUUCUCUCUUGCUCCUGGACCUUGUUCCAAAUUUGAUCUGCUCGAGAGGGAAGCGUGCUAGCGAAGGAGCUUGCCUGGAUGCUGGUAAGUGCAUCAUUGCUGCUUUAGCAAGCAACUUGGGACUUUUUUAUUUUUUUUUUUUUAUUUUGUUUAGUCAGAUGGAUUACAUCAAAGCGUGCGCGUUGCUGAUGGAGGCAGGCAUGUGGAUCGCCAGUCAACAGCAAGGGACCCAAUGAAACCUUCUGUAGCAGGGAAAGUUAGCUUAGUGGAUUGGUCUCAAAGGCAAAAUGUUUCUUCAGGCCUAGGUAUAAAGAUAAUUUAAGCAGUUCCCGUUCAGUCACGCUCUUCCUUUUAGUUUCACUGGCUAAUGCAGCAAGGCAGCAGAGCACUGUCGAGUUAAAUGAGUAUAUAUGUGUGUGGUCAGCAAGUAAAAUACAGCUUAAGUAUGAUUUCUGUCUCCGGAGCAAGAGUGUGUGUUAAAAAGGCUGUAUAACGUAUGGGUAUAUUUCUCUCAAAUGUUAAUAUUUAACUUGGUUUUAUUAGGGACCUGAAGAAGUUUAGCUGCUGUAACUGGAUGAAGGUUCAGUAUCUGGUUUUUCCUGUUAUUCUUUAUUUUUACUUAGUGUGAAGUUUUUAAUCUGCCUGAUAUUGCAGCUGGCUGGUGCUUUUUUUUUUUUUUAAUUUUCUUUUUUCCCCCCUUUUCCUUUCUCUUUCCUGAACGGAAACCACAGUUCAUCCAGACAGCCAGGGGCGUGGGGGGAACCUGGAAGAUGCUCUGCUUCCUGUUUUAUUCAUGGCAGCUAAAACCAUGUUGGGGAAUCUGGAGCAGAAAUCCACCGUCCCGCAUUCCUCUUGUCAUUUGGAGCAUGUAACACGUAUAGAGUGCUUUUAACGCUGCGCCGGGGGUUGUGUAGCAUCCAGUCCUGUGCCUCGGACAGAAAGCCCUGCACUUUGUCUUUUUACUUGGGAAGGGGCAUUGGUGAAAAUCCC